CAGCAGCCGCGGUAAUACGUAGGGAGCAAGCGUUCUUGGGGCUUACUGGGCGUAAAGAGUGCGUAGGUGGCUAUAUAAGUCAAGGGUGAAAUCUCUAUUUUCAAGGUAGAAACUGCCUUUGAUACUGUAUGGCUAGAGGGCAAGAGGGGGAAAUGGAACUCUGGGAGUAGCGGUGAAAUGCGUAGAUAUCCAGAGGAACGCCAGUAGCGAAGGCUGUUUCCUGGCUUGCUUCUGACACUGAGGCACUAAAGCUAGGGGAGCGAUCGGGAUUAGAGACCCCGGUAGUCCUAGCCCUAAACGAUGGGUACUAGGUGUGGGGGGGGAGCAUUUACCCUCUGUGCCCGAAAGCUAACGCGUUUAAGUACCCCGCCUGGGGAGUACGGUCGCAAGACUGAAACUCAAAAGAAUUGACCGGGGCCCGCACAAGCCGGUGGAGCAUGUGGUUUAAAUUCGAUGCCACGCGAAGAAC
rnacentral:rRNA from 1 species